UACGAAGGGAUCUAGCGUUGUUCGGAUUUACUGGGCGUAAAGGGCGCGUAGGCGGUUAUGUAAGUAAGAUGUGAAAGCCCUGGGCUUAACCCGGGAACUGCAUUUUAAACUGCAUAGCUUGAGUGUUGGAGAGGUAAGUAGAAUUCCCAGUGUAGAGGUGAAAUUCGUAGAUAUUGGGAAGAAUACCAGUGGCGAAGGCGACUUACUGGACAACAACUGACGCUGAGGCGCGAAAGCGUGGGGAGCAGACAGG
rnacentral:misc_RNA from 1 species